CUGCCUGCCCAGUGACANCCGUUAAACGGCCGCGGUNUCCUGACCGUGCAAAGGUAGCAUAAUCACUUGUUCUCUAAAUAGGGACUUGUAUGAAUGGCCACACGAGGGUUUUACUGUCUCUUACUUCCAAUCANUGANAUUGACCUUCCCGUGAAGAGGCGGGAAUAUAUUAAUAAGACGAGAAGACCCUAUGGAGCUUUAANUANUUANCCCAAAAGAAACAAAUUUCAUUANUNAGGAANCAACAACACUCUUUAUGGGNUAACAGCUUUGGUUGGGGNGACCUCGGAGAACAAGAAAUCCUCCGAGNGAUUUUAAAGACUAGACNUNCAAGUCGAAUCACNCAAUCGUUUAUUGAUCCAAAAAAAAAUUGAUCAACGGAACAAGUUACCCUAGGGAUAACAGCNCAAUCCUAUUCAANAGUCCAUAUCGACAAUAGGGUUUACGACCUCGAUGUUGGAUCAGGACAUCCCGAUGG
rnacentral:rRNA from 1 species